rnacentral:rRNA from 2 species
AAUUCUGGACAAAAAAAUGAAACGACAAAUAUUGUUCAUAUGUCUUGGCCAAGUCACGUGCCAGCAGUCGCGGUAACACGUGGAAGACUAGUGUUAUUCAUCUUUAUUUGGUUUAAAGGGUACCUAGACAGUCAAUCAAGCCUACAGCAGGGACUAAUUGACUAGAGUUUUAUGUAAGAAGAACGGAGUACGAUGAGAGUAGAGAUAAAAUUCUGUGAUCCCAUUUAGGAACUGUCAAAGGCGAAAGCAAUCUUUUAUGUAAAAACUGACGUUGAGGGACGAAGGCUCGGUAAAUGAACAGGAUUAGAUACCCUAGUAGUAUGGGCAGACAAUGAUGAGUGUCAUAUGUAAGUAGCUAAAAAGUAAAAUUUAUGUAUAAAUGAAAGUGUAAGCACUCCACCUCAAGAGUAAUGCGGCAACGCAUAAACUGAAAUCACUAGACCGUUUCUGAAACCAGUAGUGAAGUAUGUUGUUUAAUUUGAUGACCCACGGAAAACCUUACCACAAUUUGAAUAGUUAUAUCUUAAUAUAAUUACAGGCGUUGCACGGCUGUCUUCAGUUGAUGUCGUGAGACUUUGGUUAGUUCCAUUAAAUCAACGUAAACCCUUAUUUUAUUUAUUAAUAAAGUAGUUCAUCGCUAGAUUGAAUGUGAUAACAGGGAUAAGACAGUCAUCAGCUACCU